GCAGAUACAGGUGCUGCAUGGCGUGUCGUCAGCUCGUGUCGUGAGAUGUCGGGUUAAGUCCCAUAACGAGCGAAACCUUACCCUUAGUUCGCUACGCGUCAUGGCGAGGACGUCUAGGGGGACUGCCGGUGUCAAACCGGAGGAAGGCGGGGAUGACGUCAAGUCCUCAUGGCCUUUACGUCUAGGGCUGCACACGUGCUACAAUGGCGUGAACAAAGGGAAGCAAAAGCGCGAGCUCAAGCAAAUCCCAAAAAACACGCCCCAGUUCAGAUCGAGGGCUGCAACUCGCCUGCAUGAAGCUGGAGUUGCUAGUAAACGCGCGUCAGCUAUAGUGCGUUGAAUACGUUCUCGGGCCUU
rnacentral:rRNA from 1 species